rnacentral:rRNA from 1 species
CCUACGGUGGCAGCAGUGGGGAAUAUUGGGCAAUGGAGGCAACUCUGACCCAGCAACGCCGCGUGAGUGAUGAAGGUCCUCGGAUUGUAAAACUCCUUAAGUGGGGACGAAGAAAGUGACUGUACCUACAGAAUAAGCCACGGCUAACUACGUGCCAGCAGCCGCGGUAAUACGUAGGAGGCAAGCGUUAUCCGGAAUGACUGGGCGUAAAGGGUGCGUAGGCGGGUCUGCAAGUCAGUUGCGAAAAUUCGGGGCUCAACCUAGGAGCUGCUACUAAAACUGUUGGGCUUGAGUGUGGGAGGGGCAUAUGGAAUUCCUGGUGUAGCGGUGGAAUGCGUAGAUAUUGGGAGGAACACCAGUGGCGAAGGCGGCUUACUGGACUAUAACUGACGUUGAGACUCGAAAGCGUGGGGAGCAAACAGGAUUAGAUACCCGUGUAGUC